UCCAACCUGGAGAUCGGUUCUGCUGAGCCCACUUGACCCACUUGAUGGUCCCAAGACUCCCACGUCGCAGGGGUCUGGAGCCGGUAGAGGGUUCUUAACAGGACUUGGAGAGAGAAGAUACAACAAGGACUUGUCAGGAUGAAAAACAAAGACGUGCCUGCUGCUGAGGUGUAUCAUUAGAAUCGACUCACGAGGGGACGACCAAAGUUCAGGGGAGCGUGUGGAGGUGAAAUCUUGCAGAGUGGGCCUUUUCCAGAACACGUGUCUUGAAUUUCUCACCCAGAGAGAAAAGAAAAAAUGAAGAGGAUCUGAAUGGCUCGUGGAUGUGGAAGAGGGUGGAGGAACAGCAAAUAAAAUCCUCUCAGAACCACUGAAGGAAUGGGAGAGUCCCAUCAUCAGAAGUCCCCUCCCCAGUUCCAGUGGAAGUUCCCUGAGGGCAGGGAACGUCUGGGUGCCUUUUGGACUUUCCCGACUGCUAAACACGGUACACCGGACUCACAAAAGGCCACAGUGCUACUCCUGUUGCUCUUCUAGGGCAGACAAAUCCACAGUCAGCACGGCUCAGUUCACCAGGUAAAGCUCUGGUGCCCAAAUAUCUAUUUCCUUUCAGAAGGAUGAGGUCCACCUGUAUGCCUUCUUGAUUGCUUUAGAGACUGCUGGGCCGAUCCCCUGGAAGACUCCCCCCAUGCCCCCGCCCCCUGAGUCUAUCAAUCAGCUCUUUGGACUAGAAGGUUUCUGGGGGCAGGGGUGGGAACCACAUUCCAUUCAAAUGGAGAGCUCCCCAUAAAGGCUUUGUAAAACAAUGACCCAUCCUGGCAAAGGCUGAGGAGAAGGCUCAACUGGUCAUCAAAUGGACACCAACGGGUUGCUGAUGGGUGGGGAAUGUCAUGGGAUUGGAAAACUGAACCUCUGAAGGUCGGCUUUUAGGCCCCUCGGGGUCACUGAGCCGGCGAACCUCUGGGAGUCGGUGUCCACCUGCAGGCCCCGCAGGAUGUUGGCAUUAGUUCACCUGGUGCUGAAAUGAGCCCUUGAAUUUGAAGGGCGCUUUGGUUUUUUCAAGUACUUUAACCUCCCUUACCCCAUUGUACCCUCCCAACAUAUCUGUGAUGUAAGCUUUACUCUCACUGAGGCCCAGUGAAGUUAGAUGUCUUGCUCAAGGCUACACAACAACGGGCUGUGACCGAGCUGGGACUAGAACCCAGAUCCCCUGAAUCCUAGGACCGGAUCCCCGAGGAUGCCUCCGGGACCGCGAGCCAUGGAGACAGCACCGGACACUCCCCUGAAGCAGCAGAGUCACGGCCUCACCGCCGUGAGGGAGAACUUUCCAGAGGGCCCCCUCAUCUCCCACUCGGCCUCCCGUCUCCUCUCCGGAGAGCAGCUCAGGGGUUUGGCGGAGGAAGAAUUCCGCCCAGAAUGAAUUUCCAGCUGACCGAGCGGGUGGCCUGUCUCGGGGCCAAGCUGGAGUCGUGCCUGCUGCGUCCAGGCCCCCGAGCCAGGCCCACCUCCAAGCCGGGCAGACUCCUUGAGGCCCCAGAGCAGUUCAGCGGGUGCCUCGGCCGGCCCAGGGUGGGGGACGGGAGCAGGGUCGAGAGCGUCUCCUCCGUCUGCGGGAGCGGGCGGCCUCGAGAAUCCCGAGAAUCGCAAAUCCAGCCAGCAGCUGAGUCCCUGCCCCCUCUCCAAGCCCCCAGGCUCCAGCUCAUCCUGAAAAACAGGGAGACAGAAAGCGGUGCAUGAAUAUAUUGUCGGGGGAGGGACCCCGGGGAGGGGGACAGAAACAAAAGAGGGGCAGAUCCCUCCCUGGACUCCUCUGGCUUCCUGAGGCCAGUCCAGGCCCCCAGGCCCCAGCUUGGGGCUGAACCUGGAGGGAGAGAAGGCUGGAGUUGUUUAUAGGUCCAUUGUUUGUUCCCAGAAACAUGAUGCAUGGUGUUUGUCAAACAUUAAUUCAAUACUAGGAGCAUUGGGCAUUUCCCAGAAAUUGGGCUGUUGUCUCAGUGAUUUACUCCCUUACAAAUCUGCCUCAGCCUCAAGGCUUAACCCUCCCUGGAUACCGACAUCAGCAAUACAAUGGCCGUCACCCAGAGAAGAAAAUGGGGAACAGGCGCCAGCCCUGAGAUCUUGGGACCUGGUUCCCCCCUGCGGAUGGGUAAAUGCCCCCUUAGAGCUCACGCCAUAGUCCUUACUCUCCCAA